CGGACCAGUGGUGAAGGCUGGUGGCGAAUGAGUCAUGGACAGUGAAGCUACGUGUCGGAAACUCUGAGGUUGGA